GGUUAAGCGACUAAGCGUACACGGUGGAUGCCCUGGCAGUCAGAGGCGAUGAAGGACGUGCUAAUCUGCGAAAAGCGUCGGUAAGGUGAUAUGAACCGUUAUAACCGGCGAUGUCCGAAUGGGGAAACCCAGUGCAAUUCGUUGCACUAUCGUUAACUGAAUACAUAGGUUAACGAGGCGAACCGGGGGAACUGAAACAUCUAAGUACCCCGAGGAAAAGAAAUCAACCGAGAUUCCCCCAGUAGCGGCGAGCGAACGGGGAGCAGCCCAGAGUCUGAAUCAGCUUGUGUGUUAGUGGAACGGUCUGGAAAGUCCGACGGUACAGGGUGAUAGUCCCGUACACCAAAAUGCACAGGUUGUGAACUCGAAGAGUAGGGCGGGACACGUGGUAUCCUGUCUGAAUAUGGGGGGACCAUCCUCCAAGGCUAAAUACUCCUGACUGACCGAUAGUGAACCAGUACCGUGAGGGAAAGGCGAAAAGAACCCCGGCGAGGGGAGUGAAAAAGAACCUGAAACCGUGUACGUACAAGCAGUGGGAGCACCUUCGGGUGUGACUGCGUACCUUUUGUAUAAUGGGUCAGCGACUUAUAUUCUGUAGCAAGGUUAACCGUAUAGGGGAGCCGCAGGGAAACCGAGUCUUAACUGGGCGUUAAGUUGCAGGGUAUAGACCCGAAACCCGGUGAUCUAGCCAUGGGCAGGUUGAAGGUUGGGUAACACUAACUGGAGGACCGAACCGACUAAUGUUGAAAAAUUAGCGGAUGACUUGUGGCUGGGGGUGAAAGGCCAAUCAAACCGGGAGAUAGCUGGUUCUCCCCGAAAGCUAUUUAGGUAGCGCCUCGUGAAUUCAUCUUCGGGGGUAGAGCACUGUUUCGGCUAGGGGGUCAUCCCGACUUACCAACCCGAUGCAAACUACGAAUACCGAAGAAUGUUAUCACGGGAGACACACGGCGGGUGCUAACGUCCGUCGUGAAGAGGGAAACAACCCAGACCGCCAGCUAAGGUCCCAAAGUCAUGGUUAAGUGGGAAACGAUGUGGGAAGGCACAGACAGCCAGGAUGUUGGCUUAGAAGCAGCCAUCAUUUAAAGAAAGCGUAAUAGCUCACUGGUCGAGUCGGCCUGCGCGGAAGAUGUAACGGGGCUAAACCAUGCACCGAAGCUGCGGCAGCGACACUAUGUGUUGUUGGGUAGGGGAGCGUUCUGUAAGCCUGCGAAGGUGACCUGUGAGGGUUGCUGGAGGUAUCAGAAGUGCGAAUGCUGACAUAAGUAACGAUAAAGCGGGUGAAAAGCCCGCUCGCCGGAAGACCAAGGGUUCCUGUCCAACGUUAAUCGGGGCAGGGUGAGUCGACCCCUAAGGCGAGGCCGAAAGGCGUAGUCGAUGGGAAACAGGUUAAUAUUCCUGUACUUGGUGUUACUGCGAAGGGGGGACGGAGAAGGCUAUGUUAGCCGGGCGACGGUUGUCCCGGUUUAAGCAUGUAGGCUGGUUGUCCAGGCAAAUCCGGAUAAUCAAGGCUGAGGUGUGAUGACGAGGCACUACGGUGCUGAAGUAACAAAUGCCCUGCUUCCAGGAAAAGCCUCUAAGCAUCAGGUAACAUUAAAUCGUACCCCAAACCGACACAGGUGGUCAGGUAGAGAAUACCAAGGCGCUUGAGAGAACUCGGGUGAAGGAACUAGGCAAAAUGGUGCCGUAACUUCGGGAGAAGGCACGCUGGUGUGUAGGUGAAGUCCCUGCGGAUGGAGCUGAGACCAGUCGAAGAUACCAGCUGGCUGCAACUGUUUAUUAAAAACACAGCACUGUGCAAACACGAAAGUGGACGUAUACGGUGUGACGCCUGCCCGGUGCCGGAAGGUUAAUUGAUGGGGUUAUCCGUAAGGAGAAGCUCUUGAUCGAAGCCCCGGUAAACGGCGGCCGUAACUAUAACGGUCCUAAGGUAGCGAAAUUCCUUGUCGGGUAAGUUCCGACCUGCACGAAUGGCGUAAUGAUGGCCAGGCUGUCUCCACCCGAGACUCAGUGAAAUUGAACUCGCUGUGAAGAUGCAGUGUACCCGCGGCAAGACGGAAAGACCCCGUGAACCUUUACUAUAGCUUGACACUGAACAUUGAGCCUUGAUGUGUAGGAUAGGUGGGAGGCUUUGAAGCGUGGACGCCAGUCUGCGUGGAGCCAACCUUGAAAUACCACCCUUUAAUGUUUGAUGUUCUAACGUUGGCCCCUUAUCGGGGUUGCGGACAGUGUCUGGUGGGUAGUUUGACUGGGGCGGUCUCCUCCCAAAGCGUAACGGAGGAGCACGAAGGUUAGCUAAUCCUGGUCGGACAUCAGGAGGUUAGUGCAAUGGCAUAAGCUAGCUUGACUGCGAGCGUGACGGCGCGAGCAGGUGCGAAAGCAGGUCAUAGUGAUCCGGUGGUUCUGAAUGGAAGGGCCAUCGCUCAACGGAUAAAAGGUACUCCGGGGAUAACAGGCUGAUACCGCCCAAGAGUUCAUAUCGACGGCGGUGUUUGGCACCUCGAUGUCGGCUCAUCACAUCCUGGGGCUGAAGUAGGUCCCAAGGGUAUGGCUGUUCGCCAUUUAAAGUGGUACGCGAGCUGGGUUUAGAACGUCGUGAGACAGUUCGGUCCCUAUCUGCCGUGGGCGCUGGAGAAUUGAGGGGGGCUGCUCCUAGUACGAGAGGACCGGAGUGGACGCAUCACUGGUGUUCGGGUUGUCAUGCCAAUGGCACUGCCCGGUAGCUAAAUGCGGAAGAGAUAAGUGCUGAAAGCAUCUAAGCACGAAACUUGCCCCGAGAUGAGUUCUCCCUGAGACUUUAAGUCUCCUGAAGGAACGUUAAAGACGAUGACGUUGAUAGGCCGGGUGUGUAAGCGCAGCGAUGCGUUGAGCUAACCGGUACUAAUGAACCGUGAGGCUUAACCUU
rnacentral:rRNA from 1 species